CUGUAAUGAGCAUAUGGGGAGUUGGAGAUGGUGGGGGCACGGUGAGGAGAGCUAUGUUAGUGCAGAUAUCGCAGGGAUGUGCUGGGCGUGUGUGUGUGCGCGCGCGCGCGCCUGGGUGUGUACUGAGGCGUGGCAGCGUCUGGGAUGGGUGCUGGCCUGAGUUGGGGACAGUAGUGGAUGGUGUUCGUGGCUGCUGGCGUGUGCACUGCAGGGACCUGGGUCCGUGGUGCAUGGUUUGUGCACGCGCGUAGGACCCAUCUAGGACCGGGAACAGCUUGGCCCCCAGAGUCAUCUCCUGCUGCCGCAGGGGUGAGGACAUAAGGACCAGAUGACAGCACCACCAGUGCCCCCAACCACCAGCCUCAGCAGAUGCCUGCCUUGACGACUCUCUCCCUGCUUUGGCCCCUGCGCUUUUCUGGGCUGGACCCCGUGGUGGGUGCAUCUGACAGGUGGGCCCAAGGUGCCCUGGGCCGGCCUGACCUUUCACCUCCCCUUAAGCAUCCAGGCUCCAGGGUCCAGUCUGGAGUUGAACUGCCCAAACGACACCACAUAGUGACUCAAGGCUGAACGGCUGGAGGAGGAACAUUUGGAUUGAAUGAUGCUGCCCCUCAUCCCUGCAAAGCUCCUACCCCAGCCCUCCCGCAGUGCCUCUGCUCCCCAGGCAAUGAGACCCACCCAGCACGGGAAGAGAAGAAAGCCACCACGAGCAGCCAGGCCAGUCCUAGAAGCUCUAAAGGCACAGGACUGCUCCGCCCGGGGAAAUGGGGCCUCCCUCCUUAACCCUAGGGACGUGUCUUGGUGAACAAGGCCUGGCCUGGGCCCUAUUGAGGAAUAAAAUGGAAAACUUUCUCUAAGA